rnacentral:lncRNA from 10 species
AUUAUUUUUUAAAACCAUGCUCCAUAAGCAAACAUUAUUCUUGGUAGUAACAUUAAAAACUCUUAGUAAGCGGUGGCUCACACCUGUAAUCCCAGCACUUUGAGGCCGAGGCGGGUGGAUCACCUGAGGUCAGGAGUUUGAGACCAGCCUGGCCAACAUGGUGAAACCUUGUCUCUACUAAAAAUAUGAAAAAAUUAGCCAGGUGUGGUGGCACACACCUGUGUUCCUAGCUACUUGAGAGGCUGAAGCGUGAGAAUUGCUUGAACCCAGAUGGUAGAGGUUGCAGUGAGCUGAGAUCGUGCCACUGCACUCCAACC